rnacentral:rRNA from 1 species
GACGAACGCUGGCGGCGUGCUUAACACAUGCAAGUCGAACGGAAAGGCCCUGCUUUUGUGGGGUGCUCGAGUGGCGAACGGGUGAGUAACACGUGAGUAACCUGCCCUUGACUUUGGGAUAACCUCAGGAAACUGGGGCUAAUACCGGAUAGGAGCUCCUGCUGCAUGGUGGGGGUUGGAAAGUUUCGGCGGUUGGGGAUGGACUCGCGGCUUAUCAGCUUGUUGGUGGGGUAGUGGCUUACCAAGGCUUUGACGGGUAGCCGGCCUGAGAGGGUGACCGGCCACAUUGGGACUGAGAUACGGCCCAGACUCCUACGGGAGGCAGCAGUGGGGAAUAUUGCACAAUGGGCGGAAGCCUGAUGCAGCAACGCCGCGUGCGGGAUGACGGCCUUCGGGCUGUAAACCGCUUUCGCCUGUGACGAAGCGUGAGUGACGGUAAUGGGUAAAGAAGCACCGGCUAACUACGUGCCAGCAGCCGCGGUGAUACGUAGGGUGCGAGCGUUGUCCGGAUUUAUUGGGCGUAAAGGGCUCGUAGGUGGUUGAUCGCGUCGGAAGUGUAAUCUUGGGGCUUAACCCUGAGCGUGCUUUCGAUACGGGUUGACUUGAGGAAGGUAGGGGAGAAUGGAAUUCCUGGUGGAGCGGUGGAAUGCGCAGAUAUCAGGAGGAACACCAGUGGCGAAGGCGGUUCUCUGGGCCUUUCCUGACGCUGAGGAGCGAAAGCGUGGGGAGCGAACAGGCUUAGAUACCCUGGUAGUCCACGCUGUAAACGGUGGGUACUAGGUGUGGGGUCCAUUCCACGGGUUCCGUGCCGUAGCUAACGCUUUAAGUACCCCGCCUGGGGAGUACGGCCGCAAGGCUAAAACUCAAAGGAAUUGACGGGGCCCCGCACAAGCGGCGGAGCAUGCGGAUUAAUUCGAUGCAACGCGUAGAACCUUACCUGGGUUUGACAUGGAUCGGGAGUGCUCAGAGAUGGGUGUGCCUCUUUUGGGGUCGGCCCACAGGUGGUGCAUGGCUGUCGUCAGCUCGUGUCGUGAGAUGUUGGGUUAAGUCCCGCAACGAGCGCAACCCUUGUUCACUGUUGCCAGCACGUUAUGGUGGGGACUCAGUGGAGACCGCCGGGGUCAACUCGGAGGAAGGUGGGGAUGACGUCAAGUCAUCAUGCCCCUUAUGUCCAGGGCUUCACGCAUGCUACAAUGGCUGGUACAGAGAGUGGCGAGCCUGUGAGGGUGAGCGAAUCUCGGAAAGCCGGUCUCAGUUCGGAUUGGGGUCUGCAACUCGACCUCAUGAAGUCGGAGUCGCUUGUUGUCGCAGAUCAGCAACGCUGCGGUGAAAACGUUCCCGGG